AUAUCAAUAAGCGGUGGAAAAGAAACUAACAAGGAUUCCCUCAGUAACGGCGAGUGAAGCGGGAAGAGCUCAAAUUUAAAAUCUGGCGUAAAAGCCCGAAUUGUAGUCUAAAGAGGCGUUAUCGGACUCUAGUUUAUCGUACAAGUUUCCUGGAAUGGAACAUCACAGAGGGUGAGAAUCCCGUCUGGACGAUGAACUAGUGGCCAUAUGAGACGUUCUCAAAGAGUCGAGUUGUUUGGGAUUGCAGCUCAAAAUGGGAGGUAAAUGCCAUCUAAAGCUAAAUAUUGGCGAGAGACCGAUAGCGCACAAGUA
rnacentral:rRNA from 1 species